AUCUUCGCGCUCGAUUAAGGUUUUUGUUUACACAAAAUUAAAAGGGAAGAUUGGUGUAAAUUCCAACGCUAUCCCCGUAGCCGUAACAAGCAGUUUUUAUAAAACAAGUUGUUGAAGAUUACCACUGUUUCGUUGUAAGAAAUGGGAAGGUUUCAACAAUGCUUCAAGCCGGAAGACCUGCCUUUAUCACAUAUUAUUU
rnacentral:ncRNA from 2 species